rnacentral:rRNA from 1 species
UACGUAGGUCCCGAGCGUUGUCCGGAUUUAUUGGGUUUAAAGGGUGCGUAGGCGGACGCUUAAGUCAGCGGUAAAAUUGCGGGGCUCAACCUCGUCGAGCCGUUGAAACUGGGUGCCUUGAGUGGGCGAGAAGUACGCGGAAUGCGUGGUGUAGCGGUGAAAUGCAUAGAUAUCACGCAGAACUCCGAUUGCGAAGGCAGCAUACCGGCGCCCUACUGACGCUGAGGCACGAAAGCGUGGGUAUCGAACAGG